CAUUAAAACAUCUGUUCCCAUACGAUCACUGAAGUUAAGCACUGUCGAGCCCAGUCAGGACUUCGAUAGGUGACCAAUUUAGAAUACCAGGUGGUGUA